rnacentral:rRNA from 1 species
UGGGGAAUUUUGGACAAUGGGGGAAACCCUGAUCCAGCCAUCCCGCGUGUGCGAUGAAGGCCUUCGGGUUGUAAAGCACUUUUGGCAGGAAAGAAACGUCAUGGGUUAAUACCCCGUGAAACUGACGGUACCUCAGAAUAAGCACCGGCUAACUACGUGCCAGCAGCCGCGGUAAUACGUAGGGUGCAAGCGUUAAUCGGAAUUACUGGGCGUAAAGCGUGCGCAGGCGGUUCGGAAAGAAAGAUGUGAAAUCCCAGAGCUCAACUUUGGAACUGCAUUUUUAACUACCGGGCUAGAGUGUGUCAGAGGGAGGUGGAAUUCCGCGUGUAGCAGUGAAAUGCGUAGAUAUGCGGAGGAACACCGAUGGCGAAGGCAGCCUCCUGGGAUAACACUGACGCUCAUGCACGAAAGCGUGGGGAGCAAACAGG